GCGGCUGUCUAUACAUGCAAGUCGAGCGGUGUAGAUAAGCUAGCUUCUCUUGAGAGCGGUGGAGGGGUGAAUAGUGCCUAAGAAUCUGCCUGGUAGUGGGGGAUAACGUUCGGAAACGGACGCUAAUACCGCAAACGUCCUACGGGAGAAAGCUUGGGACCUUCGGGCCUUGCGCUAUCAAAUGAGCCUAGGUCGGAUUUGCUAGUUGGUGGGGUAAUGGCUCACCGAGGCGACAAUGCUCAACUGGUCUGAGAGGAUGAUCAGACACGCUGGAACUGAGACACGGUCCAGACUCCUACCGGAGGCCGCACUGGGGAAUAUUGGACAAUGGGCGAAAGCCUGAUCCAGCCAUGCCGCGUGUGUGAAGAAGGUCUUCGGAUUGUAAAGCGCUUUAAGAUGGGAGGAAGGGUUGUAGAUUAAUACUCUGCUAUUUUGACGUUACCUCUCAAAUAAACACCGGCUAACUCUGUGCCCCAGCCGCGGUAAUACAGAGGGUGCAAGCGUUCAUCGGAAUUACUGGGCGUAAAGCGCGCGUGGGUGGUUUGUUAAGUUGGAUGUGAAAUCCCCUGGCUCGUCCUGUCACCUGCCUCCACCCCUGACUGACUAGAGUAUGGUAUAACGUGGGGGAAUUUCAUGAGUAUCGAUGUACUGCUGAAAUGUUGAAAUGCACACAUGUGUCGAAGGCGACCACUGGGGACUGGUGAUGCUACUGGGGGGCGAAGACGCUGGAGGCGCGACAGCAAUGAGAUGCCCAGAUGAUCCGAUACUCUGACAAUCUACACUAGACACUAUGAGCGUUGAGCGUUUUAGGGUUUCAUUUACUUAGUUAACGUAGAUAACAUGGUCAGUACGGCCGCAAGGUUAAAACGCUAAUGAAUCUGACGAUGGACGCACUAGACGGUGAGCAUGUGGGUUAAUUGCGUAAGUAUCGCUUAAAACCAUAACAACGCCUAUGACUCUACAGAUCUUUGCAAAUCUUGAUAGUGCAUUCGAGACUUUGGACUCGGCAGCAUGACAGCGGCAUGUCAUGUCGCGGAUGCUUCGG
rnacentral:rRNA from 1 species